UACGGAAGGGGGCUAGCGUUGCUCGGAAUCACUGGGCGUAAAGGGUGCGUAGGCGGGUCUUUAAGUCAGGGGUGAAAUCCUGGAGCUCAAUCCAGACUAGCUUCUGAUACUGAAGAUCUUGAGUUCGGGAGAGGUGAGUGGAACUGCGAGUGUAGAGGUGAAAUUCGUAGAUAUUCGCAAGAACACCAGUGGCGAAGGCGGCUCACUGGCCCGAUACUGACGCUGAGGCACGAAAGCGUGGGGAGCAACAGGG
rnacentral:rRNA from 1 species